GAAGUAUUCCUCCGUCCAACAAAGAUGUCUCAAGUUUGUCAAAAUUUGAAUGGAUCGAAACAUUAUUUAGUGUAUAGAUGCAUUCAAAUUUGAUGAAACUUGAGACAUCGUUUAUUAGACAGAGGGAGUACAAA
rfam:Brachypodium distachyon strain Bd21 chromosome 1, whole genome shotgun sequence.